rnacentral:rRNA from 1 species
UAAAAUUUAUAAAAUUAGGUAGUAAAGAAAUUUCUGAAACCUAAAGAAUUUGGCGGUAUUUUAAAUAAUUGGAGGAACCUGUUAUUUAAUUGACAAUCCACGACAUAUCUUCCCUAAAUUUUAUUUGUAUAUCGUCGUUUUGAUAAUAUUUAAAAAUUAUAAUCGGUUUCAAUAAAUUUUUUAAAAUCAGAUCAAGGUGCAGUAUAUUUAGGUUAUAAUGGGUUACAAUAUAAUGAUAUAUUAUGGAUAUAGACUUGAAAUUAUAUUGAAAGUGGAUUCAAAAGUAAUAUUAAAUUAAAAUGUUAAUUUGAUUAAUAAUUUAAAAUAUGC